GUGGUCUUGAUGCUAAAAUCAGCUAGGGCCGAAUGUCCGCUUCUAGAUAUUUAAUUGUUAAAUCUGAAAUGGCCUUGAUAGACAGACAUUUACAAAUGUUAUGGGAUGUAAAACACCUUAUAGUACGAGAAGUAAUUUCAAGACUUCAACCUGGAUUUAUCAAGAAGUACAUCUAAUUGGUGUCAAACCUUGCAGUCUUUUAUGCAAUUAUCACUCAACAUUCCCUGCAGCUGGGGUACACCACAGGCACUCAAUGUACAACAAGAAGGGAAAAC